AUUGAACGCUGGCGGCAGGCCUAACACAUGCAAGUCGAGCGAGCGGCGGACGGGUGAGUAACCCGUGAUAACCUACCUAUAAGACUGGGAUAACUUCGGGAAACCGGAGCUAAUACCGGAUACUUAUAGAUGGAUCCGCACUGCAUGAGCGAGGUGGUAAGGAGACGGCUUAACAAGGCAACGAUGCAUAGCCGAACUGAGAGGGUGACUGGCCACCCUGGUACAGAGACACGGCCCAGACUCCUACGGGAGGCAGCAGUGGGGAAUAUUGCACAAUGGGCGCAAGCCUGAUGCCGCCAUGCCGCGUGUAUGAAGAAGGCCUUAGGGUUGUAAAGUACUUUCAGCGAGGAGGCGUUACCCGCAGAAGAAGCACCGGCUAACUCCGUGCCAGCAGCCGCGGUAAUAC
rnacentral:rRNA from 1 species